UGGGGAAUAUUGGACAAUGGGGGCAACCCUGAUCCAGCCAUGCCGCGUGAGUGAAGAAGGCCCUAGGGUUGUAAAGCUCUUUCAGAUGUGAGGAUGAUGACAGUAGCAUCAGAAGAAGCACCGGCUAACUUCGUGCCAGCAGCCGCGGUAAAUACGAAAGGGUGCUAGCGUUGUUCGGAAUUACUGGGCGUAAAGGGCGUGUAGGCGGAUGAUCAAGCUAGAGGUGAAAGCCCAGGGCCUAACCCUGGAACUGCCUUUAGAACUGAUUGUCUAGAAUCCGUAAGGGGAGUGUGGAAUUCCUAGUGUAGAGGUGAAAUUCGUAGAUAUUAGGAAGAACACCAGUGGCGAAG
rnacentral:rRNA from 1 species